rnacentral:rRNA from 1 species
GAUGAACGCUGGCGGCGUGCCUAACACAUGCAAGUCGAGCGAUUCUCUUCGGAGAAGAGCGGCGGACGGGUGAGUAACGCGUGGGUAACCUGCCCUGUACACACGGAUAACAUACCGAAAGGUAUGCUAAUACGAGAUAAUAUACUUUUAUCGCAUGAUAGAAGUAUCAAAGCUUUUGCGGUACAGGAUGGACCCGCGUCUGAUUAGCUAGUUGGUAAGGUAACGGCUUACCAAGGCGACGAUCAGUAGCCGACCUGAGAGGGUGAUCGGCCACAUUGGAACUGAGACACGGUCCAAACUCCUACGGGAGGCAGCAGUGGGGAAUAUUGCACAAUGGGCGAAAGCCUGAUGCAGCAACGCCGCGUGAGCGAAGAAGGCCUUCGGGUCGUAAAGCUCUGUCCUCAAGGAAGAUAAUGACGGUACUUGAGGAGGAAGCCCCGGCUAACUACGUGCCAGCCGCCGCCGUAA